rnacentral:rRNA from 1 species
GUUUGAUUCUGGCUCAGAUUGAACGCUGGCAGGAUGCUUUACACAUGCAAGUCGAACGGCAGCACGGACUUCGGUCUGGUGGCGAAGAGUGGCGAACGGGUAGGUAAUGUAUCAGACAAUGCCUAAUGCGGGGAUAACUACGCGAAAGCGUAGCUAAUACCGCAUACGCCCUUCCAGGAAAGCGGGGGACCUUCGGGCCUCGCACUAUUAGAGCGGCCGAUAUCGGAUUAGCUAGUUGGUGGGGUAACGGCUCACCAAGGCGACGAUCCGUAGCUGGUUUGAGAGGACGACCAGCCGCACACAAGGACUGAGACACGGCCCAGACUCCUGCAGAGGCAGCAGUGGGGAAUUUUGGACAAUGGGGGAAACCUGAUCCAGCCAUCCCGCGUGUGCGAUGAAGGCCUUCGGGUUGUAAAGCACUUUUGGCGGAAAAACGGCACGGGAUAAUACCCCGUGCAACUGACAGUACCUGCAGAAUAAGCACCGGCUAACUACGUGCCAGCAGCCGCGAUAUUGUACGUAAGUGCAAGCGUUAAUCGGAAUUACUGGGCGUAAAGCGUGCGCAGGCGGUUCAAGGAAAGAAGAUGUGAAAUCCCAGGGAAACAACUUUUGGAGCUGCAUUUUUAACUACCGAGCUAGAGUGUGUCAGAGGAGGUGGAAUUCGUGUAGCAGUGAAAUGCGUAAAUAUGCGGAGGAACACCGGUGAUAAGCGAAGGCAAACUCCUGGGAUAACACUGACGCUCAUACCCGAAAGCGUGGGGAGCAAACAGGAUUAGAUACCCUGGUAGUCACGCCCUAAACGAUGUCAACUAGCUGUUGGGAGCCUUGCUUCCGGGCGCUUGGUAGCGCAGCUAACGCGUGAAGUUGACCGCCUGAGGAGUACGGUCGCAAGAUUAAGAAACUCAAAGGAAUUGACGAGGCCCGCACGAAGCGGUGGAUGAUGUGGAUUAAUUCUGAUGCAGCGCGAAAAACCUUACCUACCCUUGACAUGUCUGGAAAUCCCGAAGAGAUUUAGGAGUGCUCGCAAAGAGAGAACCGGAACACAGGUGCUGCAUGGCUGUCGUCAGCUCGUGUCGUGAGAUGUUGGAGUUAAGUCCCGCAACGAGCGCAACCCUUGUCAUUAGUUGCUACGAAAGGGCACUCUAAUGAGACUGCCGGUGACAAACCGGAGGAAGGUGGGGAUGACGUCAAGUCCUCAUGGCCCACUUAUGGGUAGGGCUUCACACGUCAUACAAUGGUCGGGACAGAGGGUCGCCCAACCCGCGAGGGCCAAUCCAGAAACCCGAUCGUAGUCCGGAUCGCAGUCUGCAACUCGACUGCGUGAAGUCGGAAUCGCUAGUAAUCGCGGAUCAGCAUGUCGCGGUGAAUACGUUCCCGGGUCUUGUACACACCGCCCGUCACACCAUGAGUGGGUUUUUGCAGAAGUAGUUAGCCUAACCGUAAGGAGGGCGAUUACCACGAGGCGGUUCAUGACUGGGGUGAAGUCGUAACAAGGUAGCUCUGUUA